rnacentral:rRNA from 1 species
AUUGAACGCUGGCGGCAUGCCUUACACAUGCAAGUCGAACGGCAGCACGGGUGCUUGCACCUGGUGGCGAGUGGCGAACGGGUGAGUAAUACAUCGGAACGUACCUUAUCGUGGGGGAUAACGCAGCGAAAGCUGUGCUAAUACUGCAUAAGCCCUGAGGGGGAAGGCGGUGGAUCGAAAGACCUCGCGCGAUUAGAGCGGCCGAUGCCUGAUUAGCUUGUUGGUGGGGUAAAAGCCCACCAAGGCGACGAUCAGUAGCUGGUCUGAGAGGACGAUCAGCAGAACUGGGACUGAGACACGGCCCAGACUCCUACGGGAGGCAGAAGUGGGGAAUGUUGGACAAUGGGGGUAACCGUGAUCCAGCAAUGCCGCGUGAGUGAAGAAGGCCUUCGGGUUGUAAAGCUCUUUUGUCAGGGAAGAAAUGUCCUGGGCUAAUACCCUGGGGGGAUGACGGUACCUGAAGAAUAAGCACCGGCUAACUACGUGCCAGCAGCCGCCGUAA